rnacentral:rRNA from 1 species
AUGCGAAACCUUUUCAAGAUGUCUGACCUGGGAUUGCUCAGUUUCUACCUAGGGAUUGAGGUGAAGCAGGGCGCGGACGACAUCAUCAUUAGUCAGAGCGCGUAUGCACGGAAACUGCUCGAGAAGAGCGGCAUGGCAGGAUGCAAGGUGUGUCACACACCCAUGGAGCCACGGUUCAAGCUGUCCAAACAGAGCACAUCACCGGCAGUUGAUGCAACAGAGUAUCGCAGCAUCGUCGGCAGCCUGCGCUACUUGGUGCACACGCGCCCUGAUCUGACCUUCUCUGUCGGAUACGUGUCGCGUUUCAUGGAAGCACCAACAGAAGAGCAUUGCACCACCGUCAAGCACAUUCUGAGGUAUAUCGCCGGCACCCUACAGCAGGGGUGCAAGUACACCAGAGGGAAGGGCAUGGCCUAG